GAUGAACGCUGGCGGCGUGCUUAACACAUGCAAGUCGAGCGAGAAGUUUUGAAAAGAUUCUUCGGAUGAAAUUUAAAAUGGAAAGCGGCGGACGGGUGAGUAACGCGUAGGCAACCUGCCCCAUACAAAGGGAUAGCAUUUGGAAACGAAUAUUAAUACCUUAUGAAACUUAACUAGUGCAUGCUAGGUAGGUCAAAGAUUUAUCGGUAUGGGAUGGGCCUGCGUCUGAUUAGCUAGUUGGUGAGGUAACGGCUCACCAAGGCGACGAUCAGUAGCCGACCUGAGAGGGUGAACGGCCGCAUUGGAACUGAGACACGGUCCAAACUCCUACGGGAGGCAGCAGUGGGGAAUAUUGCACAAUGGGGGAAACCCUGAUGCAGCAACGCCGCGUGAACGAUGAAGGCCUUUGGGUCGUAAAGUUCUGUUCUAGGUGAUGAAAACUGACAGUAACCUAGGAGAAAGCCCCGGCUAACUCCGUG
rnacentral:rRNA from 1 species